UACGUAGGGGGCUAGCGUUGUCCGGAAUCAUUGGGCGUAAAGCGCGUGUAGGCGGCCCGGUAAGUCCGCUGUGAAAGUCGGGGGCUCAACCCUCGAAUGCCGGUGGAUACUGUCGGGCUAGAGUACGGAAGAGGCGAAGUGGGAAUUCCUGGUGUAGCGGUGAAAUGCGCAGAUAUCAGGAGGAACACCAAUGGCGAAGGCAGCUCGCUGGGACGGUACUGACGCUGAGGCGCGAAAGCGUGGGGAGCAAACAGG
rnacentral:rRNA from 1 species